GACAGCUUGGCCGAGCGGUUAAGGCGUAAGACUCGAAAUCUUAUGGGCUAUGCCCGCGCAGGUUCGAGUCCUGCAGCUGUCG